GGAUCCCAUUGCAGUUACAUGGCAACCAGGAAAUCAGUCAUUCGGAGUUGCCAUGGUAACCAGAGGGGGGGAGGGAAAGGUCCAUUUAUCACAGUAGGCCGUGUCCCUUGCUGGAAGCCUACAGAAUUUUUAGACAAAGGUCAUUCUGAAAACAGCAACCAAAGGGAAGGAAGGAAGGAAGGAAGGAAGGAAGGAAGGAAGGAAGGAAGGAAGGAAGGAAGGAAGGAAGGAAGGAAGGCAGGCAGGCAGGCACCCCCAUCUCUGAUCUCAAGACGGACCUGCAUGGUGCUGGCAUCAAGCUGGAAGGUGCUGAGCUUGUGGCAGAUGCCACAGAGGGUGGAGGGUUUCUCCUUCUCCCCUCUGCACAGGACCUAGGACUCUGACAAGUCAGCUGAAGAAGGAAGAUGAGACAUGGAAGAUUGCUGACUCGUAGUCACCGACGCCAGGGAGAGAACAGCUCAUGGUGCAAAGCAUGUCUUCAUGAGCACCAUUGAGUUACUCCGAUGGAUGGAUCCAAACAUGGCAGCAGCCUCAGGAUCAACACACCCAUCUAUCCAAAAUAAACUCCUUAUGACUGGUAUCCCAAGUGUCUCCUCAAAGCCUGAUGUGCCGAAGGCUUGGCUCCUAGCUGAUGGGAAAUGGCUGGAUUAUGAGGAUCCACCAAAAUGUGAACAAGCUACGUGGCAAUUCCUGCCUCCGUGCACUUCGGCCGCCGUGUUUUCCCCAUGGAAAUGGAAUAUAUCCCCUGACCAUAAGGCAAAAUAAACCUCUCAUAUCUUAAA